AGAAGGAGAGAGAGAUGAUAGUGAGAGGUUGCCAUCUGGCCACGUGGGAGAGAGGAGGGAGUUUGUUGAGAGAAAUGUGUGUGCAACAUGUGGAGAUAGAAGAGUGGUGCGUGUCAGGUGAGAAAACGUGUGAGUGUGGGAAUUGUGAGGUGAGUGCUAGCUGUCAACUUGCAAGAAAACAAAAAGGAAUCCAAUGCUAUUUAAAC
rnacentral:lncRNA from 1 species